rnacentral:rRNA from 1 species
CCUACGGGAGGCAGCAGUGGGGGAUAUUGCACAAUGGGGGGAACCCUGAUGCAGCGACGCCGCGUGGGUGAAGGAGCGUUUCGGCGCGUAAAGCCCUAUCGGCAGGGAAGAAGGAGGACGGUACCUGACUACAAAGCACCGGCUAACUACGUGCCAGCAGCCGCGGUAAUACGUAGGGGGCAAGCGUUAUCCGGAUUUACUGGGCGUAAAGCGCUCGCAGGCGGUUUGUCAAGUCAAGGGUGAAUGCCCCGCACUCAACGUGGGAAUUGCAUUUGAAACUGGCAAACUGGAGUGUGGGAGAGGAGAGUGGAAUUCCAGGUGUAGGGGUGAAAUCCGUAGAUAUCAGGAGGAACAUCAGUGGCGAAGGCGACUCUCUGGCACAUAACUGACGCUGAGGAGCGAAAGCGUGGGUAGCAAACAGGAUUAGAUACCCGGGUAGUC